rnacentral:lncRNA from 1 species
GCUUUGUCCAUGAACACCUUGUCAACUUCAAAGAUUCACUUCUGUUGGAAAUAAACAGCAUGAGCAGAAGGCUGCCAAGUUACAGAAAAUUUGAAGAUUCUUGAAGAUUCUUUGAUGACAACAAGUACUUUUUCAUUAAUUUGAAAGGAUAUUUUAUGAAUAGCCAACAGUUCUAAGAAAAAAAAUGAAGUCAAAGAUACUCACUGAACAGUUCUAAGAAAAAAAAUGAAGUCAAAGAAAAAAAAAGCUCAUUUUUUCCAUGUGAAUUUCUGAGGCUUGGCAGGGUGGCUUCUUGAUGUUGAAGUGCUGAAAAUGCUGAUUUUUAAUGGUUUUCAAUUGAAGAUGUGGUGAUGACAACAUCCCAAACAUAACUUUGUUCUUCCAAGAGGUAAGAAAAGCGACAUUCGUCUGUCUAAUUUUACAUUUUACCAACUAAGUCAGGCAAUCAGAAAU